GAAACAACCAUUUCGCAGUAAUAAGACAUCAGCAAAAAGUGUGUUUCUGCAAGAAUUAGUAGGCUGCAGACAUCUGACCCAUCAGAACAGACUACGCGCGAGACUCAUUUGAGGCACUAGAGUAAUUGUACAAUAUGAUAGGCUAGAAGGUCAACAAACAAAAACCUAUAGAUUUGGGUUGUAAACUUGUAACUUGUAUUGUUGGUAAGGUUACUGUAUAUAGGCAUUUGCUAACUGAUACAUAUGUGAAACAUUUCCAGAUAUAUAAGAUGCCAAAAGAUAGAAAUAUAGUGCAUCCGUUUACUAAGAUUUCAGCUUCCAACAGAAGCUUAAUGAAUGAUCAACACAUUUCAUUUAGUGGCCUUCUAUAGAAACAUCCUACUGUCCUAACAAGAUGUGCUAUAGUUUGUUCAUUAGUUACUGCCAGUUUUGGACCUUCGGGAAAAAAAUAUUGAACCGGGGAUAAAAAGGGGAACUUUCAUUGCUGAAUUAUUGAUUGAAUACUUUGCUUCCAUUGGCUGUUGAUGAACCUUGCAUAUUGUUCCUUCCAAAAGCAUAUUUUUGGGAUUAGAUAGAUAAAACAUAUUCCUGUUUUGUUUGCGUUUUACUACAAGUGCAACAAGUUCUAGUAUUGCCAGGUUCAACGAGUUCUCUUUUUGGUUGAAUAUUGUGUGUAUCCUUUUUCAGCUCACUGUUUAAUUUCAUUUCUAGGUCCAUUAUAGUAUCUUCCUACAUAGCUGUAUAUCAUGAAGCAGAAUCUCGAGGAAUCUGAAACUUUAUAUACUUGUGUGCUAUUCUAAAUACAUGUUUUAUCUGGUGCAGGCACUUGAUAAAUCGCAGCUUGGAGCCCUUCUUCGUCAAAGAGGCGAAAAGCUUGAUUCACCAGUGCUUGAAAAUGGGGAAAAUUGGAGUGUGGGACAACGAAAACUUGUUUCAUUGGGCCGUGCUUUGCUUAAGCAGGCAAGAAUACUUGUUCUUGAUGAAGCCACUGCUUCUGUUGAUACAGCGACAGAUAAUCUUAUCCAGACUCUAAUAAGGGCAGAGUUCAGGGACUGCACAGUUGUGAUGAUAGCACACAGAAUACCAACAGUUAUGGAUAGUGAUUUUGUGUUGGUCCUCAGUGACGUGUGCUCAACAAGUCGGCGCCCGCGAGUGUGGCUAUUACAUUAUGAAGUUCAUGCAUGAAAUAGUCACGUUACACCAUAACUCUGAUGAGCGGUUAGAUAAUGCUUACACUCCAAGAAAUGCGCCUUAUACCGAUGAGGAAAUAGAUGUGGUUCGUGAGCAAUGGGCUAAGUUUUUUACAACCGAGUAUUUAUUUACUUAGGUUGUUUAGACACAAAGAUGGAAGCGUUUAUAUCUUCAUGGAUUUGCUUGUUUUGAGUACUGGAAGCGGUGUUAAUGGUUUCACUCUAGAUCCAUCUCCUUGGAGAGUAUAUUUUAACUCAUCCAGACAUCAAGGGAUCGAGUCGAUUGGAAGAAAUUCAACACUGCCUUAAUUAAGGUUUAUAAUGCAUGAUCUAAAGGGAGCUAAGUGGCCGGAUUAGAGAAAUUUGUUAGACUAGCUCUCUAGCCUUUUGUCUUUAUUUGUUAAUAUUAGUUGUAAUUUGUUAGACUAGCUAGGUGUUUAAAAUUGCAAACGUACGUACUAUACGCUUGGGUUACUAUAAAUGAAGUUAAUGUAAUGAUUUAUUUAUUAAAAAUAAGCAGAUUCAUACCUUUGCUA